AGUUAGAGACUGAUUUCUCUUUGUCCUGUAUUCCAAAUACGUGCUGUCUUCACCCUGUGUUGUUUUGGAGACCUCUGGAGAUGCCCUGACCAACAGCUCAGAGGGAGGUAUCCUGAGCUUUGAAUUGAGAUUUUUUUUUUCAUUUAAUAAUCCUUGUCUUCUGGGAGUGAGCUUGUCCAUCUAUGCAGGCACACCUCUACAGGGAAACCUUUGCUCACAGCUAUCCUGCUGCUUGCCAUGGAGGCUGGAGAUAUGAAAGAACUCUCAGCUACCUCUUGAGAACCAUGUCUGCCUGCCUGCUGCCAUGCUUCCCACCA